rnacentral:rRNA from 1 species
AAAUUGAAGAGUUUGAUCAUGGCUCAGAUUGAACGCUGGCGGCAGGCCUAACACAUGCAAGUCGAGCGGCAGCGGAAAGUAGCUUGCUACUUUGCCGGCGAGCGGCGGACGGGUGAGUAAUGUCUGGGAAACUGCCUGAUGGAGGGGGAUAACUACUGGAAACGGUAGCUAAUACCGCAUAACGUCGCAAGACCAAAGAGGGGGACCUUCGGGCCUCUUGCCAUCAGAUGUGCCCAGAUGGGAUUAGCUAGUAGGUGGGGUAACGGCUCACCUAGGCGACGAUCCCUAGCUGGUCUGAGAGGAUGACCAGCCACACUGGAACUGAGACACGGUCCAGACUCCUACGGGAGGCAGCAGUGGGGAAUAUUGCACAAUGGGCGCAAGCCUGAUGCAGCCAUGCCGCGUGUAUGAAGAAGGCCUUCGGGUUGUAAAGUACUUUCAGCGGGGA